GAGGGUAUAACUCAGUGGGAGAGCCCAUGCUUAGCAUGCUUGAGGUCCUGGAUUCAAUCCCCGGUAUCUCCA
rnacentral:tRNA from 1 species